UACGUAGGUGGCAAGCGUUGUCCGGAAUUAUUGGGCGUAAAGCGCGCGCAGGUGGUUCCUUAAGUCUGAUGUGAAAGCCCCCGGCUCAACCGGGGAGGGCAUUGGAAACUGGGGAACUUGAGUGCAGAAGAGGGAAGUGGAAUUCCAUGUGUAGCGGUGAAAUGCGUAGAGAUAUGGAGGAACACCAGUGGCGAAGGCGGCUUCCUGGUCUGUAACUGACACUGAGGCGCGAAAGCGUGGGGAGCAAACAGGAUUAGAUACCCUGGUAGU
rnacentral:rRNA from 1 species